CAACAAGAGAUAAAAAUGCACGUUUAGUUUUUGUUCAUGCACACUAUUCUCUAAAGAGUGGUCUUCUUCUUCCCCUGAUUUUCAUUCUGUAAAGAGUGGUCCCUACCCAAAAUUAAUUACACGAUUGAUAUUUGGCAAUGAUAUAGGGAAAAAAGGUGCCACCUUUAACCUUGUUGCUUAUAACCAUGCAUUGUGUUUCAGCUAGAACUCGUUCUAAACGAUUCCUACAUGAUACCCUUAUUGUAAAACAUAGCACUAAACCCAACAACAACAACCAUGUUUCUGAUUUUGAGGUUGUUGGGCUCAGUUCCGAUGAAGAGUAUGAAACCAUUGUUGAUUUUGGAGAAGAUGAAGAAGAAGAGGUCAGUGAAGCUAGGGGUUCUGAUAUUAAUGUAGUGGAGAAUGUACAUGAUGAUGUUUUGGUUGUGUCAGAUUUUGAGGUUAUGAAUGAGAGUAUGAAUGAGAGUAAAAGGGGAAAACGAAAAGGGCAAAAGAGUGAGAGUGAGGUUGGAGGAAUAAAGAGGAUGAAAGUUUAUGGGCUUGAUAUUUUGCUUGAUGAGAGUAAUAGUGAAGAGAAAAAGUGUGUAGCACAAAGGACCCGUUCUCAUUUUUGUUCUAACAAUAACAGCAAAAAGAAGUUGAAGUUGGGACUCUUGCUCAACUAAUAUGCAUUGAUGAUGAUGAGAGUGAGGAAGAAAAGGUAGGUGAUUUUCAUGAAGAAGUGAGUAAGUCUAAAGCUAAUGAACAAUACUCUAGUGGUUCCAUGAGAAAAGGUCAUGCAUGUGCGUAGAACAAGGGAGAGGUGCUUCCGGAGGAGCCAAUGAAAAACGAACUUAAUCCGGUUAAGGAUUUGCUGCAUGGGUUUCUUUUUAUGUAUGUCAAACCAAAACCAC
rnacentral:lncRNA from 1 species